rnacentral:lncRNA from 1 species
GUGGGAGUUCGUGCACUCAGAAAUCUUUCACUGCUAAAUUCCGGACUUCUUCCAUGACCCGAGGCCAGAAGGACUUAGGCUUUGCUGGCAUCACUGCUGCUAGUACCACUAAAUCCUCCUUCUGUGGACAUUUCGGCAAACGCCUUUGCAGGGAGUCUAGGAAGAGCAGGAGCCGCCCUGGCGCUCCUGCGGAGUCGGGCAAUGCAGAGGCUCAGGCACCGCGGAGGGAAGCGGAGAGCGAGAAGCGUGAGUCCUGGAGAACGGCGCACGCGCGAAACUGGGGCACAAACAAGAUGGCGGGCACGCCGUUUGCACUGUCUCCCCUUUUCCUCUCCCUUUCCCCUGGUGCCCCGACUCCUAUAAUUAAUUUCAUAUAAGAGGUAUUCUGAGAGCGUAGUUAUAUCAAAAACUCACCUGCAUUAUUUCCGUGUGUGUGUGUGUAUGUGUGAAAAAUGAAGAUAAAGAACAUAUUUAAAAGUAAAAUCUGCUUUGUGGGAAUAGAAUUUACUUUUCACUUUUAUUUUUCCUUCCCUUUUCCAUUGUUUGGGAUCCACAGAGUGUGAGUGCUCAACGUACAGCAAAGAGGAGGAUAAAGCUGUAAGGAGUGUUUCGGAUUUGAUUGUAAUCUCUCUCUCUUAAAUAAAGAUAAUGUCCUCAUUGUCUGAUUGAGACAGAAACUCCCCACCUCCCUAUUAAAAUUUUUUUUAAAAAAAACCCUGACCCAGAGGUUUCUGAAGCCUCCAUUGAUAACACACAAUGGCCUGUUCUUCUAGGAUGUUUCAUGGCCCUUAAGGAAGCCUCUGUUCGCCCACAUGAUGAAAGGGUGAGAGAUGAGCAAGGAGAAGCCAAGGUUCGCCCGCCUCGCCCUGCCUGGGCAGAGGACUGUGGAAAGGCAGAAGUUGAAGGACUCCUGCAACAGAAAUGGAAUGAGGGUGCACAGACAUCCAGGAGUGAAGCACAUGUGUGUGAAAGGCAGGCCCCAGCCAGUGGCGGGAAGGAAGGCAGCCUGGUCAAUGAGGGCCCACUGGGGGCCUUUCUUCUCCCCAUUCAUUGCCUUCUGAGACUCUCCACAUCCUUUUCAGACAGAGUCUUUCUGUCUCUCCCAGACUGGAGUGCAGUGGUGUGAUUGUAGCUCACUGCAGCCUCAACCUCCUGGACUCAAACAAUUCUCCCUUAUCAGCCUCCUGAGUAGUUGGGACUACAGGUAUGCAUCACCAUGUCCAGCUUGGAUUUUUCUUCCUCCUUCAACCUCUAAAUGUUGUUGUGUUCCAGAGGCCAGUCCUUUAGUCUCCACCCUCCUUUGUCUAUACAGACUCUCCAUAUAAUCUCUAAUAAAUGCCAUUUGCACGCUGAUGGCUUGCAAAUGUCUAUCGGCAGCCUAGGUGUUCUCCUAAAUUUGAGAUUUAUUUAUCUACCUGCCUUCUUAGAUAGAAAACAAAUACGUUAAACUUAGCAUGUCCAAAGAUGAACUCUUAUUACCCAACCCAAAUUUGCUUUACACCGAUCUUUCCCAGUUAGGUAAAUAACUCCAUCUUUCCUGUUGUUCAAGACCAAAUCCUUGAGGUCUUCCUUCCUUGACACCUUUUCUUCGCAGAUCCUGCUUCCAAUAUAGGGUCAGUUACUCAUGGCUGUGUCUUUGGAAUAUAUUCAGAAUCUAGUCACUUCUCAAUCCCCUUCUUUUUCUGCUUUCAUCAUUCCUUGCCAACAUUGCUGCAGCAGUCUUCUAAGGUCUCCCUGAUUCUAUCCCUCUGCUUUUCUUCUGUGUGUGUGUGUGCAUGCACACACGUGCACACACUUUAUUUCUUCUUUUGUUUUAACGCAGAAACCAAAGUGCUUUUAAGCUCUAAAUUGGACCUAUAAUUUAUCUGCCCAAAAUCUGCCAGGGGCUUCCAUCCCUCUCAGAAUAAAAGUCAAAGUUUUCACUGUAGCUUAUAAAACCCUCCCUGAUUUGGCCCCUGCCUCUAUCUCAUAUUCCACAACUCUUCCCCCUCAUUCACUCCGCUCCAGCCACUCAGGCUAUCAUCUCAGGACAUCGUUAUAUAUUUGCUUCUUCUAGAUAUUGUCCAUCUGGCUUCAUUCAGGGCUUUGCUGAAAUGUCAGUAUCACACCACCAAAAAGUGAUAACCACGUGAGGUGAUGGACACAUUAAUUGGCUUAAUUUAGCCAUUCCACAUUGGGUAUAUACAUAUAUCCAGUCAUCAUGUUGUAUACCAUAAAUAUACACAGUUUUGUCCAUUUUAAAUAAAUAAAUGUCACUAUCAAAGACUCUGUCCUCUCUCAUAUAUUUAAAGUAAACACAUACUUCAUUCUUUUUCUGUCUACUUAUCCUGCUUUCUUUUUCUUUCACAUUCACCACCAACUGACAUAGGAUAUUUAUUGGUUUGUUAUCUGUUGCCUCCACUAGAAAGUGAGCUCUAUGACAACAAUGGCUUUGCUUGUUUCACUGCUGUUUUCCAAUAGCUUUGAAAUAUAGGAGAUGACCAAGAAACAUGUGUUUCCUGAAUAAGUUAACUAAGGAGAGCAUUUUUAUAAUAAUAGAACCCCCACAUCAGAUUCAGCUGUUGACUUAGUCAUCAUACAUCUUUUGACCAUCUUCUUUGGGCCACAAUACCAAUUGCAAAAUAAAAACAUUGAGAAACUGAAGACAAAUGUGCUCAUGAAAGAUGGUGUUGAUAACUGUUUUAAAAUAUUUUUACAAACACACUGAGAUGGUCGUUUGGGCCAUAUAUUAGUCCAAAAGGAGGAAAUCAAAUGGCGCCUAUCUGUCAAAGAAAGAUGCAAACGCCAAGGAAAGUCAAGGCUUAAUGUGUACACAUUGGCUAAAUGAAUCAAAGAUGUAAGCACUAGAAAUUUUUCAGGAAAAUUUGUACAUGACACUUUGAUGGCCCGCGGAGGACUCUGAGUCACUGUACAUCUAUUAUGUUUCACUGAUGACAGAUGUAAUCUGUCUCCUUGGCUCUCAAAAGUAAGAAAACACCUCUACACAGGAAAAACAUAAUAAAUUUUAUUUGCAAAUUAAUAUCUCUGAUCAUUGUUCUGACACUCUCUUGAAAAAUGUUUCAGAUGUGGAAAGAGUUCUUUUGAAAGAUUUAUUUUAUUUACUUUAGCAGUUCAUGAGAGCAGUGAUGCACUGACAUGGAGGGUGGGGAAGGGGUGGCUGUGUUUUAUUUGCACUACAUUUAAUUUGUGUUUGACACAUGUGCAACAUGGGCUGAUGGGAAGAACCUGGAGCAUGCGUGGAGAGAUGAACUAUGAAAACCUAGACAUCAAGACAUGCAGGCCUCCAACGAGGAUAAAACUCCUACCUCUCACCUUGGUCUCCAUGUGCCUCUCUGCUCACUAUAAUCUAACCACAGUGGCUUUUCACUAAUCAUUGUUGCUUGUUUAGGAAAUAGUUAAUAACUAAAUAUUUCUCUGAUACCUAAUAAUAUUAAACUUCUUUUCAUAUGUUCACUAGCCCUUUACGUUUCCUUGUUUUUUGUGUCGGGUUCUGAACUUUCUCCUUCCUCUGCCCACAAUUCAUUUCCCUGAUCUUCCCUCAGCUGUCCCUUCUCCUCUCUCCUACCUCAACUCAAAUAUCACCUCCUCAAAGAGACCGUAGCUGACCAUCCCAGGCAAUGACACUCCAACCCUGCUCAUGCUCUCUCUCUGACAUUACCCCAUUUUAUUUUCUUCUUAGACUUUACCAUUGUCUGCAAUUAUCUCGUUUUCUUAUUUGUGGAUAUGCUGAUUAAAUGCUCCUCCCCUUUUGUAACUGAACAAAAUUUCCAUGAAGGCAGAGACUGUGUCUGUCUUGCUAAGAUCUGUGUCACCAAUACUGGAGCUGGGCCUGAUACAAGUAUUUUUUGAGGGGGAAAAAUGAUUUCUCAUUUCUGAACCUGAGCCCCUUGACUCUAGAAUGAAAGGGUUGGAUGAGAUCAGUGUUCUUUAAGUGGGGCCCCAGAUCAGCAGCACCAGCAUCGCCUGGGAACUUGUCAGAAAUGCAGGUUCUCAGGUCCUUCCCAGACCUGCGGCUUCAGAGAGUCUGGCAUGGGACCCAGUGAUCUGUGGUUUAGCAGCCCUGCAGAUGCCUGGAUAUGCCCUGGAGUGUGAGAGCAACACAUGCUCUCUGAGGCCUCUUCUCUUCUUUACACUUAACUUUUUGGCUUUGUUAGUUGCAAAGGUUAUUUCAUAUAUAGAAAUGAGAACAGAGAAUAAUUCAGUGACCAGCCUGUCCCCAGUGGCUGGAUUGAGCAAAUCUUAGCAUUACA